UACGUAGGGUCCGAGCGUUGUCCGGAAUUAUUGGGCGUAAAGAGCUCGUAGGCGGUUUGUCGCGUCUGCUGUGAAAUCCCGAGGCUCAACCUCGGGUCUGCAGUGGGUACGGGCAGACUGGAGUGCGGUAGGGGAGAAUGGAAUUCCUGGUGUAGCGGUGGAAUGCGCAGAUAUCAGGAGGAACACCGAUGGCGAAGGCAGUUCGCUGGGACGUGACUGACGCUGAGACGCGAAAGCGUGGGGAGCAAACAGG
rnacentral:rRNA from 1 species